UACGAGGGGUGCAAACGUUAUUCGGAAUCACUGGGCGUAAAGGGUGCGUAGACGGCAAUAUAAGUCAAUUAUUAAAUCUCCCAGCUUAACUGGGAGUCUGUGAUUGAAACUAUGUUGCUUGAGGAUGGAAGAGAGAAGUGGAAUUCUCGGAGUAGCGGUAAAAUGCGUAGAUCUCGAGAGGAACACCGAUGGCGAAGGCAGCUUCUUGGUCCAUUUCUGACGUUGAGGCACGAAAGCGUGGGGAGCAAACAGG
rnacentral:rRNA from 1 species